GAUGAACGCUGGCGGCGUGCGUAAUACAUGCAAGCCGAGCGAAUGGAUUAAGAGCUUGCUCUUAUGAAGUUAGCGGCGGACGGGUGAGUAACACGUGGGUAACCUGCCCAUAAGACUAGGAUAACUCCGGGAAACCGGGGCUAAUACCGGAUAACAUUUUGAACCGCAUGGUUCGAAAUUGAAAGGCGGCUUCGGCUGUCACUUAUGGAUGGACCCGCGUCGCAUUAGCUAGUUGGUGAGGUAACGGCUCACCAAGGCAACGAUGCGUAGCCGACCGCAGAGGGUGAUCGGCCACACUGGGACUGAGACACGGCCCAGACUCCUACGGGAGGCAGCAGUAGGGAAUCUUCCGCAAUGGACGAAAGUCUGACGGAGCAACGCCGCGUGAGUGAUGAAGGCUUUCGGGUCGUAAAACUCUGUUGUUAGGGAAGAACAAGUGCUAGUUGAAUAAGCUGGCACCUUGACGGUACCUAACCAGAAAGCCACGGCUAACUACGUGCCAGCCGCCGCGGUAA
rnacentral:rRNA from 1 species